CUACGCUCAUCAGGGUUCAAGCCUGAACUCUGGUCACAUUUUGAACAUAUGAAUACAAUCUUUACCUCCUGAUCUCUCAGGGAUGCAGCAGACUCCGAGCCCGUCCUGGAUAUUAUCAAUUAACCUGAUAAAUGCCAGCGGCGCAGUCAGGCAAUGGCAGUGAGUUUAUUCCUAUGAGCAAGCUAGAGGUGAUGGUGGCAAGGA